rnacentral:rRNA from 1 species
AUUGAACGCUGGCGGCAGGCCUAACACAUGCAAGUCGAACGCGUGGCGGACGGGUGAGUAAUAUCUGGACCACUGCCCGAUGGAGGGGGAUAACGACUGGAAACUGUAGCUAAUACCGCAUAAAAUUAUAUGCGCCCAGAUGGGAUUAGCUUGUUGGUGGGGUAACCGCUCACCAAGGCCACGAUCCCUAGCUGGUCUGAGAGGAUGACCAGCCACCCGGCAACUGAGACACGGCCCAGACUCCUACGGUAGGCAGCAGUGGGGAAUAUUGCACAAUGGGCGCAAGCCUGAUGCAGCCAUGCCGCGUGUAUGAAGAAGGCCUUCGGGUUGUAAAGUACUUUCAGCGGGGAGGCGUUACCCGCAGAAGAAGCACCGGCUAACUCCGUGCCAGCAGCCGCGGUAAUAC